GCAAUUGUGGUCCAGCGGUAGAAUUCUCACCUUCCACGCGGGAGACCUUGGUUUGAUUCCCAGCCAAUGCA
rnacentral:tRNA from 1 species